CAGUAAUCAUUUUCACGAUUGUUUUUAACGGAUGCUUAUCGCCACUUGAUAAGCGCAUGCGCACACACAGCAAUUCCCAUCCCCCACCCCUGAUCAAAUUCAAAUUCGCGUAGCACUCUAGAAUCUUUGCUGAGUUUGCUCCUUUUCAACUGCAGUCACCAGUGACUUCAACCGUCACUUUCUGUCAUGCCUCUGACUGAAUGUGUAAGCUGUUCAAACUCUGCCGACAUCAUAUCCCAGGUGGUGUGUUGUGAGGACUGCUGCCCUAAGAACACUGAGUGCAUUCUGGAAUAUUCCAAAUGUGUGCCACGUCCAAGCUCGUAAGAGAGUUCACUCACCAUGUGGCAGCAGUGCGGUGGAGGCAGUGUGGCAGCAGAGCUGGCCUAAACAAAACAGUCUUCAGUCCUUGGAACCGCACCUGGCUCUUUGGCCCCAAGAACAAACCUUCCGUCAUAGGUGCCUCUGAUAGUGCAUCACUCACAAGAAUGGUAACAAGAAUGCACUUAAAGAAUGCCCUGGCAGGAGCAUCACAUAUGAAUGCUUUCACAGACAGUUGAAGUGCUUUGCCUCCAUGAACAAUGCCAUCUUGCUGUAACUGCUGCAACUCCUGGAGAAAGUCACUUAAGUACUCUUCCACCGAAUUUGGUUUUAGAUGGCCACAAUGAAAGGAGCAAAGUUGUGAAAGUUGCAGAGUAUGGGACACAUUUGGAAGUUGGAGGAUUUAAAAAGUGGCACACCAUCAAUGUUAAAGCACAAAUGUAGGUGCUCAACGAUUCCUGGAUGCUGAGACAAACGUUUGGUUUUGGAGUGGCAUUGUCGAGAAUCUACCAAGAAGUUUGUAAAUUAAAGGAUGGAAAAAGUAUGGGAUUUUGAAAUAGAAAAUGUGUAGGAACCCUGUUAAAAGAAACCUUUUCUCUGUCUCUCUCCAUUCAACUGGAUCUCUCAAUGUUCUCAUUGUUCUCCAAAAUUCCAUUACUUGUUACUACAUUGUACAUGUUGUCAUACAUUGUUCAUAUUUAGCCAUAUUUAUUCUGCCCUUAUAAGAUAACU